ACCUUUCCCUCACGGGCACUGUAGGACAACCGACCGGAUUCAAGCCCUAGCCCCUCAACUAGGACGGACUUGUGGAAAUCCUCGAAAACAAGUAUUGCUCGCCUUUUGUAG
rnacentral:rRNA from 1 species